AUUGAAAAUAAAAAAAAAUAAGCAAUGGAAAAUGUACGAUUUAUUUACGAAUUUCUAUACAUUAUACAGGUUUAAAUAAUCUUUAUUAAUAUUUAGACGGAACUCCGGCAGAAAAAAUAACUUGGAGGUGUUCCAUUAAAGGUUGGGAAUGACACAGGGGGUAUUUCUCCAUCCCCUCUUCCAUCA